rnacentral:rRNA from 1 species
UACGUAGGUGGCGAGCGUUACUCGGAAUUACUAGGCGUAAAGCACGAGUAGGUGGUCAAAUAAGUUGGUAGUGAAAGCUUCGUCAAAAGCGAAGAGGUCUACCAAAACUGCUUGACUUGAGUGUAGGAAGGGGAGCCGGAACUCCUGGUGUAGCGGUGAAAUGCGUAGAUAUCAGGAGGAACACCUAUGGCGAAAGCGGGUUCCUGGCCUACUACUGACACUGAGUUGUGAUAGCGCGGGGAGCA